rnacentral:rRNA from 1 species
GACAGAGGUCCCGAGCGUUGUUCGGAUUUAUUGGGCGUAAAGGGUGCGUAGGUGGCCAAGUAAGUUGGAUGUGAAAUCCUGGGGCUCAACCUCAGAAUUGCAUUCAAUACUGCUUAGCUAGAGAGCUGUAGAGGAGACUGGAAUUUACGGUGUAGCAGUGAAAUGCGUAGAUAUCGUAAGGAACGCCAGUGGCGAAAGCGAGUCUCUGGGCAGCAUCUGACACUGAGGCACGAAGGCCAGGGGAGCAAACGGG